rnacentral:rRNA from 1 species
GACGAGCGCUGGCGGCAUGCCUAAUACAUGCAAGUCGAGCGGACAGAUGAAGUACUUGCACUUCUGACGUUAGCGGCGAACGGGUGAGUAACACGUAAGGAAUCUACCUAUAAGCGGGGGAUAACAUUCGGAAACGGGUGCUAAUACCGCAUAAUAUCUUCUUCCGCAUGGAAGAAGAUUGAAAGACGGCUCUGCUGUCACUUAUAGAUGACCUUGCGGUGCAUUGGUUAGUUGGUGGGGUAAUGGCCUACCAAGACGAUGAUGCAUAGCCGACCUGAGAGGGUGAUCGGCCACAUUGGGACUGAGACACGGCCCAAACUCCUACGGGGGGCAGCAGUAGGGAAUCUUCCGCAAUGGGCGAAAGCCUGACGGAGCAAUGCCGCGUGAGUGAAGAAGGCCUUCGGGUCGUAAAACUCUGUUAUAAGAGAAGAACAAAUUGUAGAGUAACUGCUACAGUCUUGACGGUAUCUUAUCAGAAAGCCACGGCUAACUACGUGCCAGCAGCCGCCGUAA